rnacentral:lncRNA from 1 species
GAGGAAUUCGAGGUGAUAGAGGACAUUUACAAGAGGCCUCUGAAGCUUCGCCACUUCGAUCACCUGAUUGAUAGGAGCAGAUACUUUCUGAACUUCGAACUGAUGGCAUCCAGAGGUACGAAGCCCCAACACCUAAAUUUUCCUAUCCCUUGUUUUUAUACUGAUGCUGAUCUGACCUAUUAUGCAGAUAAAUUCAAGAAGAGAGAGUACCCAGCUUUAGACAUGACCUCUAUCUUGAAGGCCACGUUUACUGUGAAGGCAAGGCCCCUGAAGCCUGGGUCCAGCGGGGCAAAGGAAGUCCGAGGCAGGGUUGAGCGCCUGUCCAAGGACUGUACUCCCAGGGCUUCGAAGGAGGCAACUCCUUAGAGGCCAGAGAAGCCGAAGGACCCUCGGGGCAAGGAGAAAGUUCCUGAGGAGACUAAGAAGAGGAAGCUGGUGCACAUCUCCAGCUCAGCUGGAAAGUUUGGGACCUCAGUGUCCCAUAGGGCCGAACAGACUGGCGAGCCGAAGCUUCUUGCUGCAGCCUCCAAAGCCAUAAAAAUGGAGAUGGUUAGAGAGGUAGAGGCUGAAGAGGCUAGAACAGAGGCCGCAAGGCAAGCUGUAGAAGCUGCCAAGGAGGAGGCAGUAAAGGAGAAGCCGAUGCGGGAGAAGGGGAAGUCUCCGAGCUUCCUAGUUGGGAGGGAGGAAGCACUGGCCCCAGCCUUGGUGGAGGCUCUCCCUGAAGAAAUCAGAAGUGCCACCGAGAGCUUUUACAAGUUCUGGACGGAGAGGUGGCAACUGCAUGCCUCCUCUUGCAACGCCACCGACUUGACAAAGGCAAUGGUGAGCCAGAGCGUCCGGACCUUUGGCCUCGCGCUCGAAUGCAGGGAGGCCUUGAGCGAAUUUCAGACAAGGACCCAGGCCUCGGAGGGUAAGAUUGCCUCCCUCGCAAAGGAGGUGAAAGCUGCUACGGCCGAGGCCGAAGAAGCCAAGGCCCAGAGAGUUGAAGAGGCGGCGAAGCUUGAGUCUGCUCUGGCCUAGAUUGAGGCCUUAAAGAAGGAAGUGUAUGAGUCACAGUGCGAGGUGGCCUCCUUGACAAAGAAGCUGGAGGUCUCCAAUGAGCACCAAAAGGUGAUUGCUGAGGCCCUUGAGAAGGCGAAUCUCUCCUUGGCCGGUGCUCAAGAUACUUAUCAGUUUCUCGAAGGCCAGGCGAAGUGGUACAUGAAUGAUGCCUCUGUUGCAAGAGAAGAGGCCCGAACUGCAAGGGAGGAGGCAGUGAAGGAAUACAUCGCCAAUUUCCACACUACAGAGGAGUACAAGAGCUUCAGUUCGUACUGGAGGAACUUCGCCUAUGCCGAAGUGCUGGAGCGGGCAGAGGAGCUGUAUCCCAAUUUGGACCUGGCUCAACUUAGGUCCGAAUUUGUAGAUGAGGUACCUCAGACCCCAGCUGAGGAGGUCCAGGGUGAUGAAGAAGUUGAUGCCGAAGCCCC